rnacentral:rRNA from 1 species
AUGGUGUUGGGGUACUCUCCUGAGGAGAGCCAGAGUAUUGCCAACCGUCUUAACUGCCCAUUAGGCUCCUUCCCCACAACCUACUUGGGGAUCCCCACCACUGACUCUCGGCUGUCCAUUGCAGAUUUGCGUCCAUAGGUGCUCAAGCUUCAGCACUGCAUUGAACCUUGGCAUGGUAGAUGGCUCUCUAAGGCGGCUCGAAAAAUCCUGAUCAAUUCCUCCCUGUCCAGCCUCCUGUUGUUCAUCAUGAGCUUCUACAGCCUGCCUGAGACCUUGCACCAUGAGAUUGGCAUGAUCCAGGCACGCUUCUUCUGCGUAGGCGAGGGGGACAAGCAGAAAUACCACAUGGUCCGCUGGUCCAAGAUCUGUAAACCUGGCGACCAAGGCGGUCUCGGUAUCAUCUCCUCCAAAUGCAUGAACAUUGCCCUCCUGACGCGCUGGCUAUGGCGUAUCGGCAACGGCGAGGGCGCUCUUCGGCUGCAGAUUAUGCGGAACAAAUACCUGCACAGAGAGCCUCUUGCAUUUUCCCAAAGGGCGGGUGGCUCCCAGUUCUGGCAGUCAAUCAUCCAGCUGCUCCCGGUCCUCCAGAUUGGGACUUACAUCGCUGUGGGAACGAGAUCAACCAUGCUAUUCUGGUUAGAUAGGUGGACGAGUGAAUUCCCCUUUGCAGCUCACUUCCCGGACUUGUCCGCCAUCACCGUGGACCCUCGGGUCUCCGUGGAGACGGCCCUCACUGACUUUGGGCAUCUCACGUUCAGGCGGCCAUUUGGGCCCCCGGAAUCGAUUGUGUGGCAUGAGCUCCUGGACACUGUUGCUCUCCAUGAGCCAGACCUUGCGCGCCCCCAUGAUGUCGUUUCCUGGCGCUUAGAGCCUCUGGGCACCUUCUCCACCAAAUCCCUAUACCGGGCCAUCGUCCCCACUCCCGCCCCUGAGCCACUUGUAGCGAUUUGGGAGAUCAUGCUUCCUCUAAAGAUUAGGAUUUUAUUGUGGCAAUGGAUUCGUGGAUGA